ACCAAGGAAGAUGUAGCCGCCUGAGGGGUGGCCCCUGGGAUGACCGCCCAAUCCUCGGGAGGCAGCAGUAGGGAUUUCGCAAUGGAGAAAUUGACGGAGCAACCCCGUGAGUGAUGAAGGCUUUCGGGUCGUAAAAUCUGUUGUUAGGGAAGAACAAGUACAAGAGUAACUGCUUGUACCUUGACGGUACCUAACCAGAAACCACGGCUAACUACGUGCCAGCAGCCGCGGUAAUACGUAGGUGGCAAGGUUAUCCGGAAUAUUGGGCGUAAAGCGCGCGCAGGCGGUUUCUUAAGUCUGAUGUGAAACCCACGGCUCACCGUGGAGGGUCAUUGGAAACUGGGGAACUUGAGUGCAGAAGAGAAAAGCGGAAUUCACGUGUAGCGGUGAAAUCGUAGAGAUGUGGAGGAACACCAGUGGGAAGGGGCUUUUUGGUCUGUAACUGACGCUGAGGCGCGAAAGCGUGGGGAGCAAACAGGAUUAGAUACCCUGGUAGUCCACGCCGUAAACGAUGAGUGCUAAGUGUUAGAGGGUUUCCGCCCUUUAGUGCUGCAGCUAACGCAUUAAGCACUCCGCCUGGGGAGUACGGUCGCAAGACUGAAACUCAAGGAAUUGACGGGGGCCCGCACAAGCGGUGGACAUGUGGUUUAAUUCAACACGCGAAGAACCUUACCAGGUCUUGACAUCCUCUGACACUCUAGAGAUAGAGCGUUCCCCUUGGGGGACAAGUGACAGGUGGGCAUGGUUGUCGUCAGCUCGUGUCGAAUGUGGGUAAGUCCCGCAACGAGCGCACCCUUGAUUUAGUGCCAGCAUUUAGUGGGCACUUAGGUGACUGCCGGUGACAACCGGAGGAGUGGGGAGACGCAAUCCUGCCCUUAUGACCGGGCACAACGGCUAAAUGGAUGGUACAAAGGUGCAAACCGGAGGUCAACAUCCCUAAAACCUUUCAUUCGAUUGAGGUGAACUCCCUGAAACGGAACCUGAUCGGUC
rnacentral:rRNA from 2 species